rnacentral:rRNA from 1 species
AUGGUGCUUAGAAACUCAGAUGGUGCAGUCCUUUUCGCAGCAUACCGUUUCAUAUUCCACUGCAAUGACUCGCUGGAGGCGGAACUGCAUGCGUUAAUGCAAGCUAUGGCACUUGCUAUUCAACACUCGGACCUUCCGGUGGUGGUGCAGUCGGAUUCUUCGGAAGCGUUAUCCAGUCUGUUGAACAAUGCACUCUGUAGAUCAGCUUAUGGCCACCUUGUAUUGGAGAUCAAGGACUUGUUAGGUACUAGGGAGUUUUUUCCUCUGAAGAUUCACCGUUCUCAGAAUAGAGUUGCCGAUCAACUGGCCCACUAUAGCCGCACGGAGCGAACUACUGCUGUGUGGUUGGGCUCAGUACCUCCUUGUAUUGAGGAUUUGUGGCCUCAAGACUGUAACUCUAUAAUUUUGCAAUAA